GGGGGGGGGGGGGGGGGGGGGGGGGCCAGAAAUUCAUGGCACUAUGAUUUGGAAGCAGAUGCCAAACAGAUAGGCAAGAUGGGACAGUUGUAGAGACUCGCCCAGAACAGAGACACCUGGAGGAAGCUGAUAAACUAUUCAGCUGAAAUUAGUUGAUUUACUUCUACCAUGAACAGUUGUAAGGACAUCUUUCACUUGCUACUAAAUUGAAUAUCCUGCAGAAUUGUUUUUUCACAUUGUGUGUGUGUGUGUGUGCUAGACUUCAUUAAAACCUUUUAGUUGACAGCUGAUGUCAAGAAAAUGGGUGGAAUUACAUAAACAGGCCAAAAGCUAGUUGGCAAUAAGUGCUGUGUUUUUUAGAAACAAAUUUACAUGUAUCAGAAGUAUUUACAAUGAUUAGGAGAAAUCAUAAAGUAUAUUUAAAUUUGGCCUUUAAAAAAGCUUUUUUUUUGGCUGUCAUAAAAAGUAUAACGAUUUCCAAACCUUUAAUGUUUUGUUGCAAAAAUAUUUCAGCAAAAAAAAACAACUAGGAAAACAAAAUGACAUUCAUAAAACAAACAACUUUGGUAUCACAUGUUUUUGUCCUUGUGUAAAAAAAUAAAUACAUUAAAAGAAAAAACAAAAAGUUGAAAGUAAUUCUAAAAUCCAUUUCUUAACAAAUAUUUGGAAUGAAUGGACUAUAGAUUGAAGCCUCUACUUGAAUAGGUUCAGGCUCCACUUAGUUCUAUCAAGAGCAUAUUGAUAAACACCAUAUUUACUUCAACUAAAUUAUAAAACCUGAACAGACUCAACAGAAGGAGCAAACCUUAUUUCAUUUAAAUUUUAAAAAAAUUUCGGAUCAGACGUUUAAGUUCCUCCUCUUCAUAUUCUACAUAAAAGCAAAGUGAAGAAGAAAUGUUGAUGAACAGGUGUUCCAUUACCUAGGCCAUCAAGCACCAUUAUUAAGAUGCUCUAGAUCAUAGAGCAAACCUUUUUUUUUCUUUGGCUUCUUAACUAUUGAGUUAAUAAUGCUCCAUGUAAUAUUGCUUUUUAAAUUCAAUAAUACUAAAUUAAAUACUUCAUCAAAUGAAACCCUCCCUCCCACCAAACAAAAAAGGCAAAAAUAAUUCUUCUAGUAAACAUAGGGAAACAUUUUUCUUAUAACAUUUUGUAAUUUGAAAUAAAACACAAAGAAAAAAAAAAUCAUUGCAUAUGAAAUAUGAACAAAAUUAAAAAAACAUUCUGAAGAAGCAAAAAAAAAAAAAAAUAAAUGUAAACAUUUCA